UACGUAGGGACCAAGCGUUGUCCGGAAUCAUUGGGCGUAAAGAGCGUGUAGGCGGCUUGUUAAGUCUUGCGUGAAAUCUCGGGGCUCAACCCCGAGCGGUCGUGAGAAACUGGCAGGCUAGAGUGCGGGAGAGGAGAGUGGAAUUCCUGGUGUAGCGGUGAAAUGCGUAGAUAUCGUAAGGAAGACCAGUGGCGAAGGCGGGUCUCUGGACAGUUCCUGACGCUGAGGCACGAAGGCCAGGGGAGCAAACGGG
rnacentral:rRNA from 1 species